AAAGCUGAGAGAUCCGGGAAAGGCCGCACGUUAAUAUGAGGAUUCGUAAUGGGUGUUUAUCGAAAGUGCUGCGAUGUCAAAAUCAGUUUCCUUUAAUCAGAAAAGAAGAUAUACACCAUCGAUGGCUGAGAAUGGCUCUAGAAGCUCAACUAUUUCUCCUCCAGACAAACCAUCACCUUCAUGUUGCAGUCAUUGUAGUCUACAUGAACUUAAUGCCUUGAAGAAGAGGAAGCUGGAGCUUCAAAUACAAUUGUUUGAGGCCCAGUUGGCGCGAUUUGAUGAGGAAUAGAUUAUUUUGUUAUUUGUUAUUAUUUUGUUAUGAAGAUAAAGUUUAGUUAUAUUAAAGAGUUAC